AACGAACGCUGGCGGCAUGCCUAACACAUGCAAGUCGAACGAGACCUUCGGGUCUAGUGGCGCACGGGUGCGUAACGCGUGGGAACCUGCCCUUAGGUUCGGAAUAACUCCCCGAAAGGGGUUCUAAUACCGGAUAAUUUCUUCGUACCAAAGAUUUAUCGCCUUUGGAUGGGCCCGCGUUGGAUUAGCUAGUUGGUAGGGUAAAAGCCUACCAAGGCGACGAUCCAUAGCUGGUCUGAGAGGAUGAUCAGCCACACUGGGACUGAGACACGGCCCAGACUCCUACGGGAGGCAGCAGUGGGGAAUAUUGGACAAUGGGCGAAAGCCUGAUCCAGCAAUGCCGCGUGAGUGAUGAAGGCCUUAGGGUUGUAAAGCUCUUUUACCCGGGAUGAUAAUGACAGUACCGGGAGAAUAAGCUCCGGCUAACUCCGUG
rnacentral:rRNA from 1 species